rnacentral:rRNA from 1 species
AUUGAACGCUGGCGGCAGGCCUAACACAUGCAAGUCGAACGGUAACAGGAAGAAGCUUGCUUCUUUGCUGUCGAGUGGCGGACGUGUGUGAAAUGUCGGGGAAACUGCCUGAUGGAGGGGGUUAACUACUGGAAACGGUAGCUAAUACCGCAUAAUGUCUGAAGACCAAAGAGGGAGAGCUUCGGGCCUCUUUGCAUUGGCUUUGCGCUGGUGCCGUACGGGAUUAGCUAGUGGGUAGGGUAACGGCUUACCUAGGCCACGAUGCGUAGCAGAUCUGAGAGGAUGACCAGCCACACUGGAACUGAGACACGGUCCAGACUCCUACGGGAGGCAGCAGUGGGGAAUAUUGCACAAUGGGCGCAAGCCUGAUGCAGCUAUGCCGCGUGUAUGAAGAAGGCCUUCGGAUUGUAAAGUACUUUCAGCGGGGAGGAAGGGAGUAAAGUUAAUCCCUGUGCUCAUUGACGUUACCCGCAGAAGAAGCACCGGCUAACUCCGUG